GCCGAUAGCUCAGUUGAUAGAGCAUGAGGGUCUUAAUCUCAGGGUCAUAGGUUUGAGCCCCAUGUUGGACA